GCCAGCGGGUUGCUCCCCUUCGCCCGGUCACGUGCUCGGGGAGGAGCGGGGGCGCCCCCAGGGCGGUUCCUGAUGGGCAGAGACCUGAACCAAGGCGGGGAACUUCUCCCAUUUAAGCGGAAGCAAGGAAGGUUAGACCUUUCCACUUUGUAGCUCUGUGGUUGCAAAGUAAGCAAACCCCAGAGAAAAGCCUGACCGCGCACUUGUGUCAUUACUGCCCUGCUCGCGUGGCCGUACCCGAAGUCAGCUGCGCUGGUGCGAGAGUUGUCAUGGUCUGCUAAAAGUGAUUUUAGACGGCUUACAAAAAUGUCUCUCUUAAGCUUUUUCUUCUUGCUGAUACUGGCUCAGAUACUGCUGGGAAAGACAACUUAAAAAUCUGUAAUUCAAACGUAGCAAAAAGGAGGAAAGACAAACUUCAAGCCCUCAUUGCAAAUGGACUGCCUUGCCUGGAAAAGAGACUGCCAGAUGAGACAGCAGCCGGAGCCCUGGAGGACGCGAUUGAAACGUGUCACUAGAAAUGGCUUAAGUGGAGAGUUCUGGCCCUUUUAAAACACUGUCUGUCGCUUGAGGAUUGGGUCACCUUGAAAUGUGUUCAUCUUUGAAUUAAAGGCAUGAAAAGGCACUUUGAAACA